rnacentral:rRNA from 1 species
AACGAACGCUGGCGGCAUGCCUAACACAUGCAAGUCGAACGAGACCUUCGGGUCUAGUGGCGCACGGGUGCGUAACGCGUGGGAACCUGCCCUUAGGUUCGGAAUAACUCCCCGAAAGGGGUGCUAAUACCGGGUAAUGUCUUCGGACCAAAGAGUUAUAGCCUUUGGAUGGGCCCGCGUUGGAUUAGCUAGUUGGUAGGGUAAAAGCCUACCAAGGCGACGAUCCAUAGCUGGUCUGAGAGGAUGAUCAGCCACACUGGGACUGAGACACGGCCCAGACUCCUACGGGAGGCAGCAGUGGGGAAUAUUGGACAAUGGGCGAAAGCCUGAUCCAGCAAUGCCGCGUGAGUGAUGAAGGCCUUAGGGUUGUAAAGCUCUUUUAACCGGGAUGAUAAUGACAGUACCGGGAGAAUAAGCCCCGGCUAACUCCGUG